AUUUUUGCUCUCGCAUCCAUUCAUCUCUCCCUUCCAUCUCCUCCUGCUACUAUUAGCAACACACGCAUUUAUAGAUACACACACAAAGAAGAAGAAGCAGGGAGGCCAGCGUUCUACUUGCACAGGUGAGAAGGUUAGAUAUGAUGAUGGUCUCAUCUCCUUAGUUUCGGCCGCUUGGUUCGGAUCGAGGAGCUCUCUCUUCUCACAUAUGAAAUAUUGUCCUUAGUUUCGGCCGUUUGGUUCGGAUCAAGGAACUCUCUCUUCUCACAUAUGAAAUAUUGUCCUUAGUUCGGCCGCUUGGUUCGGAUCAAGGAGUUCUUUCUUCUCGCAUAUGAAAUAUUGUCN
rnacentral:lncRNA from 1 species